AGUAGGGUACAAACUUUGAGAUGCCAAGGCCGUCUUGCCACCACAUGAGAAAUGCUGAGAAUCAAACCAGACAGAAGAAAGCAGGACUGAGAAAUAGAAUGAGAACAGAUCCUGGUGAAAUUGUUUGCCUGGGUCCUGCUGCAUCCAGUCUAGAGGGCUUUCCAGUUGGAGGACCUAUGAUUUUUAUUUCUUGUUUUUAUCAAGCUGUUUGGACUUGGAUUUGUUACUUGUAGCCUGAGGAGUUCAGACUGAGAAGAGGGUGUGACAUUCAGGGACACGGGAGCUGGAGAGAGCUGACCUCAGAGCAGGAGGGCUUGGAGUGGAAAGUGGAUCCCAGUUCCUUCUAAAUGUGGGCUUCACGCAUAUUAGUUAACCUUGCAGAGCCUCAGCUGUCUCCUGAGUAAAGCGGGCCAGGAACAGCGCCGCUCUCCUAAGGUCGCAAGGAUUAAACAAGAUAAAAGAAGACUGAGGUUAGAAGACAAUUUGUCCAGGUCCCAAGUCAAUA